UGUGGGCAGGGCGAUGGAACCCGCCCGGGGAUUCUCCCGAACCGCCACUCGGCUGAUGGUCCCUGCACGUCG
rnacentral:ncRNA from 2 species